AUACGUAGGGGGCGAGCGUUAUCCGGAAUUACUGGGCGUAAAGAGUGCGUAGGUGGCUGCUUAAGCGUGAGGUGAAAGGCAAUGGCUUAACCAUUGUGAGCCUCGCGAACUGGGUGGCUUGAGUGCAGGAGAGGAAAGCGGAAUUCCUAGUGUAGCGGUGAAAUGCGUAGAUAUUAGGAGGAACACCAGUGGCGAAGGCGGCUUUCUGGACUGCAACUGACACUGAGGCACGAAAGCGUGGGGAGCAAACAGGAUUAGAUACCCUGGUAGUCCACGCCGUAAACGAUGAGCACUAGGUGUCGGGGUCGCAAGACUUCGGUGCCGCAGUUAACGCAUUAAGUGCUCCGCCUGGGGAGUACGCACGCAAGUGUGAA
rnacentral:rRNA from 1 species